UUUGUUCUUUGGGUGGCGAGUGGCGGACGGGUGAGGAAUACAUCGGAAUCUACUCUGUCGUGGGGGAUAACGUAGGGAAACUUACGCUAAUACCGCAUACGACCUACGGGUGAAAGCAGGGGACCUUCGGGCCUUGCGCGAUUGAAUGAGCCGAUGUCGGAUUAGCUAGUUGGGGGGGUAAAGGCCCACCAAGGCGACGAUCCGUAGCUGGUCUGAGAGGAUGAUCAGCCACACUGGAACUGAGACACGGUCCAGACUCCUACGGGAGGCAGCAGUGGGGAAUAUUGGACAAUGGGCGCAAGCCUGAUCCAGCCAUACCGCGUGGGUGAAGAAGGCCUUCGGGUUGUAAAGCCCUUUUGUUGGGAAAGAAAUCCAGCUGGCUAAUACCCGGUUGGGAUGACGGUACCCAAAGAAUAAGCACCGGCUAACUUCGUGCCAGCAGCCGCGGUAAUACGAAGGGUGCAAGCGUUACUCGGAAUUACUGGGCGUAAAGCGUGCGUAGGUGGUCGUUUAAGUCCGUUGUGAAAGCCCUGGGCUCAACCUGGGAACUGCAGUGGAUACUGGACGACUAGAGUGUGGUAGAGGCUAGCGAAAUUCCUGAUGUAGCAGUGAAAUGCGUA
rnacentral:rRNA from 1 species